rnacentral:rRNA from 1 species
AUACGGAGGAUCCAAGCGUUAUACGGAUUUAUUGGGUUUAAAGGGUGCGUAGGCGGACUGGUAAGUCAGCUGUGAAAGUUUGAGGCUUAACCGUAAAAUUGCAGUUGAUACUGUCAGUCUUGAGUGUGCAUGAGGUGGGCGGAAUUUGUGGUGUAGCGGUGAAAUGCUUAGAUAUCACGAGGAACUCCAAUUGCGAAGGCAGCUCACUGGGGCAUAACUGACGCUGAUGCACGAAGGUGUGGGUAUCAAACAGGAUUAGAUACCCUGGUAGUCCACACAGUAAACUAUGAAUACUCGCUGUUUGCGAUAUACAGUAAGCGGCCAAGCGAAAGCAUUAAGUAUUCCACCUGGGGAGUACGCCGGCAACGGUGAAACUCAAAUGAAUUGGCGGGG